rnacentral:tRNA from 1 species
AGGGGUGUGGCUCAGCGGUAGAGCGUAUGCUUAGCAUGCAUGAGGUCCUGGAUUCAAUCCCCAGUGCCUCUG